rnacentral:rRNA from 1 species
CCUACGGGAGGCAGCAGUGGGGAAUAUUGGACAAUGGGCGAAAGCCUGAUCCAGCAAUUCCGCGUGUGUGAAGAAGGCCUUCGGGUUGUAAAGCACUUUAGUUGGGGAAGAAACAGCUUGGCCACACCAAGCCUUGACGGUACCCAAAGAAUAAGCACCGGCUAACUCUGUGCCAGCAGCCGCGGUAAUACAGAGGGUGCAAGCGUUAAUCGGAUUUACUGGGCGUAAAGGGUGCGUAGGUGGUUUUGUAAGUCGGAUGUGAAAGCCUGGGGCUCAACCUCAGAAUUGCACUCGAUACUGCAAGACUAGAGUUCGGUAGAGGGCGGCGGAAUUCCCGGUGUAGCGGUGAAAUGCGUAGAUAUCGGGAGGAACAUCAAUGGCGAAGGCAGCCGCCUGGGCCUGAACUGACACUGAGGCACGAAAGCGUGGGUAGCAAACAGGAUUAGAUACCCUGGUAGUCCACGCUGUAAACGAUGAGAACUUGACGUUGGUUCGUUUUACGAAUCGGUGUCGCAGCUAACGCGAUAAGUUCUCCGCCUGGGGAGUACGGCCGCAAGGUUGAAACUCAAAUGAAUUGACGG